GUGAUGGAGUGUCGUGUGUGAUGUGCGUGUGCUGAAAAUGGCCGCGUAUAUCGAGGUCUUCCGAGUUUACUGAUCUACGGUUGAUAGCUUCAUACGCUUAACUUUACCUAUUUGUACGAUAGUGAAUUUCUAUCAAAGCGUGUUGGUGCGUGCUAAAUUCGAAAAAACGAUUGUCGUGCCUUUCUAUCUUAAAGUUUAAUCAAUAUUUGCGUUCUUUACAAAAAGAAAGAGAGAUAGAAAGAUAUCAUUCGUAUACAUGGAACUUGUUUCCUUGGAUCUUCAAGUCGUGAAAGAAGGAAGGUGAGAGACGGAGGACGUGCUGCAUAUUUUCAUCCCACGAACGUGUUCUCCUUAUGUUACCUUCGAUGGUCGAUAAUAUCAAACCUACUACGUUUUAAUAAUGGGUUACAUUUUCAAUAUGGAUAUUUACUUUAGUUUAUAUCAAGGUACUCAUUAAUUAAUGAGCAAACUUAUUGUUUAUCAAGAUGCGGGAGAGGUCUACUAUGAUCCCCUGGUAUCCAGCGGGGAUCUAAAUUAAACUAAGUAACAACAAAAUAGUUUGAUUGUUAUAUAAAUCAAGAUGAAAAUGGAAGUAAAAUCAUAAUAUUCAGUCUUCGAAGAAAUGAAAUCUUUAUGUACUGAAUGAGAAUUUUACUUUCAUGAAAUAUUUUUAUUUGGAUUUUUGUGGUCAUAUUAUAUACAUAAUUUAUGUACCUAAAUAUUUGAACUGUCUAUAGACAUAAUGUAAUUAUAGUGCAAGUUAAGUUUAUAUACACAAGUGCGUUGAUAAAAAGAAAUCACUAUGUCGUUUUUAUCAAAUUUAAAGAAAGCAUUCCACUUCGGUGGCAAUGACGCAAAAAAGAAAAAGUUAUAUAAUAAUAUUAAAAUGGAUUGUAAUCCAGAAGAAUUCUGGGAAAUGGUCGGCGAACUUGGAGAUGGUGCAUUUGGAAAAGUUUACAAGGCACAACAUAAACAAACUCAUCAGUUGGCUGCUGCAAAAAUGUGUGCGUUGGAAGGGGAAGACGAUCUUAGUGAUUUUAUGAUUGAAAUCGAUAUCUUGUCUGAAUGUAAACAUCCAAAUGUUGUUGAAUUACAUGAAGCAUAUUUUAUAGAAGGCAAAUUAUGGAUGUUGAUUGAAUACUGUGAUGGUGGUGCUGUAGAUUCUAUUAUGGUAGAGUUGGAGAAAGCAUUGACAGAAGGCCAAAUAUCAUAUGUGUGUCAGCAUAUGGUAAAGGGUCUAGCAUUCUUACAUAAAUCCAAAGUUAUCCAUAGGGAUUUAAAGGCGGGGAAUGUUUUAUUAACAAUGGCGGGAGGUGUCAAACUUGCCGAUUUUGGGGUAUCUGCAAAAAAUAAGCACACGUUACAGAAACAUGAUACAUUCAUUGGUACACCCUAUUGGAUGGCACCAGAAGUUGUACUAUGCGAAACAUUUAGAGAUAAUCCUUAUGAUUUCAAAGUGGACAUUUGGUCCCUUGGCAUAACUCUUAUAGAGUUUGCGCAAAUGGAGCCACCAAAUCAUGAAAUGUCUCCAAUGCGUGUCUUAUUAAAGAUUCAAAAAAGCGAUCCACCAAAGCUUGAUCAACCUGGAAAAUGGAGCAAAGAGUUUAAUGAUUUUAUUGCAAAAGCACUUAUAAAGGAUCCAUCAUCACGACCCACUGCUGAAGAAUUGUUAAGACAUCCAUUUAUAAGUAGAAAUUUGGAUUCUAAACCAAUAAGGGAUUUAUUACUUGAAUAUAAAGCUGAUGUUGUUGAAGAAGAACUUGUCGAUGAAGAAGCUGAGAAGGCCAAAAAAGCAAAAAAACACAGAGAACAGUAUCAGCGUAUUGGCUGUGCAUGCGGCUCUCCUGGGCCUCGCCAGCCCUCUCAUCCCUGUACUUGUCAGGAGCAGCGCACAUCUCAGCUUCCUUUGGAAUUGGAACAACUCGGAGAUGACUCUGCAUCUAUGCGCAGUGAUGGCGAUAUUAAAGUUGCUGAGAAAGAAAAUCUUACUCCAAUACCUAUAUCCACGAAAAAAGAGGAUAGUCACAAACGGGAGAUGAAUAGAGAUGGUGAGAAAGAAGAUAGAAGUAAGAAAUUGCGUAAAACUGAAUCGAAGGAAAAUAUGCACGCAUUGAACGAGAAAAAACAGGCACCCAAACCUCCAGCUACAGUUGAAAAUAACGAACGUAGGAUAUCUAGAGAUAAAGGUCCUGCUCCUCCACCUCCGUCGGUUCGUCAAGACAACAAAAAUGAUGAAAAAGAGAAUUGUGCCGAUCUGGCAAACAAAUCUAGUGCCAUGGAAUCGUUAGGUCAAAGUAAAGUAAAGGAUGAUAAACAAGAUCGUAAUUUAUUAUCAUCGCAAUCAGUGGGAGUAGAAAUGGAACAGCAGAAACCAAAUACUAAAGAUCAGAUAAAGAUAGGAGCGUCUAAUAAAAAACAAGAUGAAUUAGAUAACAUAGAUAAAAUUAAUUCAACAGAAACGAUUGAUAAAACGUUGUUUGCUUUGAGUAAAUCUAAAAGUAUUGAGGAGAAACCAAAAUUAAUGGAUAAUGUAAAUAUACUAACCAAAAAAUCGAGUUUAGAUGAAAAUCGAAAGUCGGCUCCUAUCAAGCCAACUUCGUCGGAGGAAUGGAUAAAGCCAGUGUAUAAUAAGCAAUCAUCUCUUGAAGAGAAGAGCAGGUUCCAAUUAGACACUUCGAUAGAAGAACAACGUAAAUAUGAGAAACAUUUAAUAGAAGAUAACAUGAAAAAUUUGGAACAAAAAAGAAAGUCUGUAGAAGAUAAACUAAAUGCAGUUUUAGAAAAACGUAUUUCUAUGGAUACACAGAAAAGGAUAAGCACUACAUCGAUUGAAACAUUGAAGCAUACAUCUGAUAUAGCAAAUGUUACGUUAUCAGAAAAGAAUAGCAUGAAAGCAAGCUCUACAGAAAAUAUUAAGACGGAUUAUGGCCUGAAUAAAAUUGAAAAUGUUUUGACUAGUCAUAGCGAAGGUUCUUCCAGAAAUGAUUCUUUAGAAAACUUUACUGAUGAAUUCCAAGAUAAACAUGAGAGAACAAAAUGGUUAAAUAAGGAACACAGAUUAAAAGAAGAUAAUAGAGAAGAUAAAAAUUAUGAGCGCCAGAGUUCUGCUGUUAAUGUAUCUGUAAUAACAUCGACACCAAUUAGAAGUAGAAGUACGUCUCGAAGGAGUAGUGCGGAUAACAUAGUUGUUAUUACUGGUAAAUCUCAAGGCGAACAAGAAGUACGUUCCAAUAGAUCAACAGUUCGCAUUACAGCUGAUUCUCCGGAUCCAUCUAAUAGUCUUGCAAGUAAUGUAAGUCAAGUUACCGUUGUCACUACACAUCCUCCAGUGUUAGUGGAUGCAACAGCUACAACUCCUUUACUAAGACGUUCUUCCCCUACAUCUGAAGUAGUUAUUGUUGCAAACGAAACCAAUAAAACCCAAGUUAACGAAAAUUCGACCGACGAGGAUGGUUUCCCUAGUCUAGAUAGUUUGGAAUAUACUCCACAGGAACAACCCAUUAUUCUUAUGGAUACCUCCAAACGUGUUGGUAAAAAGUUAGACGAGUCUGAAGUUAUUAUCGUCAGUCCUAUUGUUGAUGAAUUACAAGAUACUAGUCAUGUCUCUGUUGUUACUGUCGGUGACGAUGGAGAACGAGUAAAAGAUUCUUCUAUAAGUAAUAAACAUAACGUCGUUAGAACUGGUUCUUCACACAGCAAUUUGAGUUUGAUCGAACAGGCAAGUUCGAAAAGCGAUAGUGGUGAUGAAAUAAGUAAAACGUCGAUGACAGUUACAGGAACAACUACUGAUAGAACGGAUCUUAACGACGUUGAAAGAAAUUCGAAGAAGAUGAAUGGUUUAAUUAAAAAUGAAAGGCCAGCUGUUGGACAUCGUAUCGAAGACAGAGUUGUAACAUCGGCAAAACAAAAAGAUGAUUACGUAAGAAGUUCGAAAGAUAAACGUGUAUCACCGGAUAGUUUUGAAGGGUCAAGAUCGCAGAGUGAUUCAGGAUCAACGAGAUCGCAUACACCAAGUAAAAGCCUUGAUCGUUCUGAUGCCGAAUCAAUUUCCACGACAAUAAGCCAAGAUAGUCGAGGUUCGAAUAAAGAAAAUCAUUUAUCUCACGUUCAAACUACGGAAGGUGAAGAGGAAGUUGUUCUGCGUCGAAAAUCUGAUUAUAGUCGGGAUGUAUCUCGAACACCUAGAACGAAGGAAGAUAUACAAAUGAUGAAUUUGAAGAAGAAAACGAGAAAACGAACAAGGAAAUUUGAAAUCGAUGGUGUUGUUGUUACAACGACUACAUCCAAAGUUAUAUAUGGCGAUGAUGAAAAUGGUAAAGUCUAUGACGAUCAAAUAUUCCGGAAACAAGAAUUACGCGAAUUAAAAAUGUUACAAAAGAGUGAACAAAAACAGUUUCAAGAUCUAUCACAGAAAUCACAAUUCAACAAAGAUCAACAAGAGAAACGGUUUGAACAAGAAAGACAAUUGCUGGAACGUGGUGCUGAAGGAGAUUUAGAAACGCUCGCUAGACAACAAAGGCAACAAAUUGAGCGUGCAGAAGCUCAACAAGAAGCUGAUCUUAGACUGGCAUCAAAAAAGAUUCGUAGCGAACAAGAGAGAGAAUUGAAACAAUUCCGUGAAGGUUUAAAACAAGAAUUACGAUUACUCAAACAAGAGGUUGACUUAAUGCCUAAGGAAAAAAGAAAGGGAGCUUUUAAAGUACGAAAAGAAAAACUUGAGGCUGAACACGAGGAAAGAGAAAAACUUUUCUUAGAAAAACUUAAUGAAAGUCAUGAGAUGUCAUUGCGAAGAUUAUCGGAUAGUCAUCGAGAAAAAAUAGCUUUAAUGGAAAGACAGUUUCUACAACAGAAACAGCAAAUGAUGAGAGCUCGAGAAGCAGCUAUUUGGGAGCUGGAAGAAAGACAGAUACAUGAAAGACAACAAUUGCUAAAGAGACAACUUAAGGAUAUAUUCUUCUUGCAGCGACAUCAGAUGCUUAUUAGACAUGAAAAGGAAUUAGAACAAAUGAAAAGAAUGAAUCAGAGGAAGGAAGAUGAAUUAAUAAAGCGUCAAACGGUAGAGCGUAGGAACCUGCCUAAAAGGAUUCGAAAUGAGAUGAAAGCACGCGAGAUGAUGUUUAGGGAGUCCAUGAGAAUUUCAAUGUCUUCUGCAAUUGCUUCGGAUCCUGAAGCUGAAAGAGAGAAAUUGAAGAAGUUCCAAGAGAAUGAGAAAAAAAGGUAUAGAGCGGAACAACAAAGAUUUGAAUUGAAACAUUCACGUCAACUCGAAGAAGUUAGAGCUCAAAGUGAUGCUACCAUCAAGGAAUUAGAACAACUACAGAAUGAAAAGAGAAAAAUGCUGAUGGAGCAUGAGACAUUGAAGUUAAAAGAACAAGAAGAAACAUAUAGCAAAGAACUUCGCGAGUGGAAGGCACAAUUGAAACCACGAAAACAGGAUUCUUACGUGGGUAUCUAAUAGCAAACAUGCUAAUUUGUAAUUGUAGUCCUUGCUCAUAAAUAUUCCCACAAGAACCUUUAUAAAAGAAAACUAUAAAGAGAUACCACAGUCGGAUUUGAAAAGAAGUAUUAUAAAGGUUAUUGAAAGAGACUUGAAGAACAAUUUGCUCUUCAAUUAGAAGAACAAGAGGCAAUUUAUGGACCUAGUGCGAUUCCAUUAUGUUUACCAGCAGACCUU
rnacentral:misc_RNA from 1 species